CUGUUAAGCCAGCCUUGUCUCCUAUGUCCAGAGAGGCUCUGUUGUAGCCACUGAGACACAAAGUCCUCAGUAGUUUGGUUUCUGUUUCUGCAACAGGCGUUAGCAAUCAAAUUGACUACAGAGCAUCGUGGGGAAUGGCCGGAGACCACUCAUGUGGCUGACAUAGGAAAGCUUCCGGAUGAGUCAGUGUGUGGACAGAGUAGAACAUUCACGUUAGGAGCUGUGACGUCUUUGCUGCCUCCUCCCUGCAGUCAAGGCUGUAAACUCGGUGCAAUUCCCAGGAACAGUGUCUUGUCCAGUCUUUCAUGUCCUGUGGAAAAGCUACAAGGAGGUGGGGUAAGGGCCUCUGGGGCCAAGAGCGGGAAAGUGAGCUUCAAGGCCCAUGGCAGCGCCCAUUAAGACCUCAGCAC